rnacentral:rRNA from 1 species
UGGGGAAUCUUGGACAAUGGGCGCAAGCCUGAUCCAGCCAUGCCGCGUGGAUGAUGAAGGCCUUAGGGUUGUAAAAUCCUUUCGUUGGGGACGAUAAUGACGGUACCCAAAGAAGAAGCUCCGGCUAACUUCGUGCCAGCAGCCGCGGUAAUACGAAGGGGGCUAGCGUUGUUCGGAUUUACUGGGCGUAAAGCGCGUGUAGGCGGAUUUGUAAGUUGGGGGUGAAAUCCCGAGGCUCAACCUCGGAACUGCCUCCAAAACUACAAGUCUGGACCUAAGUAGAGGCAAGUGGAAUUGCGAGUGUAGAGGUGAAAUUCGUAGAUAUUCGCAGGAACACCAGUGGCGAAGGCGACUUGCUGGACUUAUGGUGACGCUGAGACGCGAAAGCGUGGGGAGCAAACAGGAUUAGAUACCCUAGUAGUCCCUGAGCGGGCUGGCAAGGCGCAU